GAACGAGAAAGUGGAGCAAUCCAUGAGUAAAGUGGCGACCGGGUGAGUAACACGUGACUAACCUACCUCCGAGUGGGGAAUAACUCCGGGAAACCGGGGCUAAUACCGCAUAACAUCGCGAGAUCAAAGCAGCAAUGCGCUUGGAGAGGGGGUCGCGGCUGAUUAGCUAGUUGGCGGGGUAACGGCCCACCAAGGCGAAGAUCGGUAUCCGGCCUGAGAGGGCGCACGGACACACUGGAACUGAAACACGGUCCAGACUCCUACGGGAGGCAGCAGUGGGGAAUUUUGCGCAAUGGGGGAAACCCUGACGCAGCAACGCCGCGUGGAGGAUGAAGUCCCUUGGGACGUAAACUCCUUUCGACCAAGACGAUAAUGACGGUACUGGUGGAAGAAGCACCGGCUAACUCUGUG
rnacentral:rRNA from 1 species